AAGUCAUAACAAGGUUUCCGUAGGUGAACCUGCGGAAGGAUCAUUAAUAGUGCCCAUUGAUGCAAAUCAUUGGGUUAGAUCUGCCCUUAUCGCAAGAUGAGGGCUUCCAUAUACACCGUGAACUGCGGCUUCGGCCAUCACAAACUGUUAGUAAUGAAUGUAAUAUCAUAACAAAAACAAAACUUUUAACAACGGAUCUCUUGGCUCUCGCAUCGAUGAAGAACGCAGCGAAAUGCGAUAAGUAAUGUGAAUUGCAGAAUUCAGUGAAUCAUCGAAUCUUUGAACGCACCUUGCGCCCUUUGGUAUUCCGAAGGGCAUGCCUGUUUGAGUGUCAUGAAACCUCACCCCACUUAGGUUUUUGCCUAAGCGGUGGUGUAUUGGGUGUUUGCCUUGCUAAAGGCUCGCCUUAAAGAUAUAAGCACCUUGGAUGUAAUACGUUUCAUCCUUCUGGGUGGCUGAUAACCCCACAUAUUCAUGAUCUGGCCUCAAAUCAGGUAGGGCUACCCGCUGAACUUAAGCAUAUCAAUAAGCGGAGGAAAAGAAACUAACUAGGAUUCCCUUAGUAACGGCGAGUGAACCGGGAUGAGCUCAAAUUUAAAAUCUGGCGUCUUUCAGGCGUCCGAGUUGUAAUCUAUAGAGGCGUUUUCCGCGCCGGACCGCGUCCAAGUCUCUUGGAAUAGAGUAUCAAAGAGGGUGACAAUCCCGUACUUGACGCGACAACCGGUGCUCUGUGAUACGUUCUCAAU
rnacentral:sRNA from 1 species